rnacentral:rRNA from 2 species
UCAGUGUGUGUGUUAGUGGAAGCGUCUGGAAAGGCGCGCGAUACAGGGUGACAGCCCCGUACACAAAAAUGCACAUAUUGUGAGCUCGAUGAGUAGGGCGGGACACGUGGUAUCCUGUCUGAAUAUGGGGGGACCAUCCUCCAAGGCUAAAUACUCCUGACUGACCGAUAGUGAACCAGUACCGUGAGGGAAAGGCGAAAAGAACCCCGGCGAGGGGAGUGAAAAAGAACCUGAAACCGUGUACGUACAAGCAGUGGGAGCCUCUUAAUGGGGUGACUGCGUACCUUUUGUAUAAUGGGUCAGCGACUUAUAUUCUGUAGCAAGGUUAACCGAAUAGGGGAGCCGAAGGGAAACCGAGUCUUAACUGGGCGUUAAGUUGCAGGGUAUAGACCCGAAACCCGGUGAUCUAGCCAUGGGCAGGUUGAAGGUUGGGUAACACUAACUGGAGGACCGAACCGACUAAUGUUGAAAAAUUAGCGGAUGACUUGUGGCUGGGGGUGAAAGGCCAAUCAAACCGGGAGAUAGCUGGUUCUCCCCGAAAGCUAUUUAGGUAGCGCCUCGUGAAUUCAUCUCCGGGGGUAGAGCACUGUUUCGGCAAGGGGGUCAUCCCGACUUACCAACCCGAUGCAAACUGCGAAUACCGGAGAAUGUUAUCACGGGAGACACACGGCGGGUGCUAACGUCCGUCGUGAAGAGGGAAACAACCCAGACCGCCAGCUAAGGUCCCAAAGUCAUGGUUAAGUGGGAAACGAUGUGGGAAGGCCCAGACAGCCAGGAUGUUGGCUUAGAAGCAGCCAUCAUUUAAAGAAAGCGUAAUAGCUCACUGGUCGAGUCGGCCUGCGCGGAAGAUGUAACGGGGCUAAACCAUGCACCGAAGCUGCGGCAGCGACACUAUGUGUUGUUGGGUAGGGGAGCG